AUACACCACUGCUUUCUUUUAUUGAAAUAAAACAAGAUACUCAUUAUGUUAUUUUCCCUUCUUUCCCCAGGAAGCUACUGACUGCCUAGAAAUUAGGAAAGUGUGCAAGAAGUCCAGUUGGUCAAGGUGGAUUUCCCCCCCCCCCACCCCAUUUCAAGAGACUUUUCAUAAUUGCCUUCUGCAAAACCUUUGGACACUCCCCUCCGUGCCAUGUUUUGUGGCUCUCACCAUAAGAGGAAUUUGUCUUGAUGAAGAUUCCUAACAUUGGUAAUGUGAUGAAUAAAUUUGAGAUCCUUGGGGUUGUAGGUGAAGGAGCCUAUGGUGUUGUACUUAAAUGCAGGCACAAGCUGCUGCUGGACAAUCAAAAUCUGGUAAGAAGGUACUGACUUUUAUCCAUGUUGAUUUUAAUCUGGAAGAGGAAGAAGGAGAAAAGGAGAAAACCCUGUUUCAGACAGAAGUCCGGCAGCCUGUCUGCACUAUUGUAACUAGUGUUUAAUUCAGACAUACCUGAACUAGCUACUCAUCGAAACAGAACUCCAAUAUGAGCUACUUUGCUCUCUUUAGAGCUGUAGUGUAAUCAUUAUAAUAAAAUAACUUCUACAUCUCUGAAGCA
rnacentral:lncRNA from 1 species